rnacentral:tRNA from 1 species
GGAGGCGUCCGUGUUCCUGGUGGGCACCCCGGUCUUCAAAACCGGUGAGACCGAGUAUCUCGGUCUGGCGGGUUCGAUUCCCGUCCGCCUCCGCCA